GUUAGCUUAGUUUUAGUGUUAAGUGUAGUUUUAGCGUUAGGCAUAGGUUCCUGUUAGUAGUUUGGAGUUAGGCGUAGGUUCCUGUUAGUAGUUUGGAGUUAGGCGUAGGUUCCUGUUAGUAGUUUGGAGUUAGGCGUAGGUUGCUUUUGGUAGUUUAGAGUUAGGCGUAGGUUGCUGCUACCAAGUGGCAGUAAAUGCUGCUCACUCGGUAAGCUGCUCACUCUGCCCUGAUUUAUCAUGCAGGGAAAUGAGUGCCACUGCCCUGAGAAGGGAGGUUUGGUGACGUCUGCGAUGAAUUGAAUUCCGUCUUGUGACUUUUCUGUUGCAGAACAUGGAGGAGCGGCUGAGCAAUGGAGUUGGGACUCGGGGGAGCAAUAGGUGCCUGUGUCCCAAGCUUCCUGUGUGGCCCUUGCAAGCUCCUGCUCCCCUCGCCUGCAAGUGGAGCGAUGCUCAAGUUUGAGGAAUCUUUUCCUCGGCAGGCGGUAAAAGACGCCGCAGCUGCGAGUUUUGUGUCCUUCUUUGUUAUUGG